rnacentral:tRNA from 1 species
GGGGAUUUAGCUCAGCGGCAUAAGCACCUGCCUUGCAAGCAGGCAGUCCUGAGUUUCAAUCCCCG